rnacentral:rRNA from 1 species
AUGUACAAGGCAAGGAGGCAAGCCUCACUCAAAGUGCGGCGACGGGUCGGGAAGUAUGAGCUCGGGCGGACGAUCGGGGAAGGGACGUUCGCCAAGGUCCGGUUUGCAAAGGACACCGAGUCCGGGGAUCCUGUCGCCAUCAAGAUCCUUGACAAGGCCAAGGUUCAGAAGCAUGGGUUGGUCGAGCAGAUUAGACGAGAAAUCUGUACGAUGAAGCUGAUACAGCACCCCAAUGUUGUCCGCCUGCAUGAGGUGAUGGGAAGCAAGGCAAGAAUUUUCAUCGUUCUGGAAUAUGUCACGGGUGGAGAGCUCCAUGAUAUCAUCGCUGCCCGUGGAAGCUUGAAGGAGGAUGAAGCCCGCAGAUACUUUCAGCAAUUGAUCAACGCUGUUGAUUAUUGCCAUAGCAGGGGUGUAUACCACCGAGAUCUGAAGCUAGAGAAUUUGUUGCUUGAUACUGCUGGGAACCUCAAGGUCUCAGACUUUGGCUUAAGUGCGAUAUCUGAGCAGGCGAAGGCUGAUGGGUUACUACAUACUACAUGUGGGACACCUAACUAUGUUGCUCCCGAGGUUAUCGAAGAUAAGGGCUAUAAUGGUGCGCUUGCAGACCUUUGGUCUUGUGGGGUAAUUCUUUUUGUGAUGCUUGCUGGGUAUCUGCCUUUUGAGGAUGACAACGUCUCAGCCCUUUAUAAAAAGAUCUCUGGAGCUCAGUUUACUUGUCCCUCGUGGUUUUCUGAUGGAGCUAAAAAGCUGAUUCCCAGGAUUCUGGAUCCCAGUCCUUCUACUCGGAUAACUAUCCCUCAACUAUUAAAAGAUCCAUGGUUCAAAAAAGGGUACAAGUCACCUGUUUUUUAUGAGAAAUAUCAAACUAGUUUGGCUGAUGUUGAUGCUGCUUUCGGAGACUCAGAAGAAAAACAAGUUAAGGAGGAAAUCGAAGGGCAGCCAGCUUCGAUGAACGCAUUUGAGUUGAUAUCACUGAAUAAGGGACUGAAGCUAGAUAAUUUUUUUGAAGCUGAUAAGAAGUACAGAAGAGAAACAAGAUUUACAUCGCAAUGUCCUCCUGAAGAAAUCAUCAGUCGGAUAGAAGAAGCUGCUAAGCCACUUGGCUUUGACAUCCAAAAGAAGAACUACAAGAUGCAAAUGAAGAACCUAGAAGCAGGAAGAAAAGGAAACCUAAAUGUUGCAACUGAGGUCUUCCAAGUGGCUCCAUCUUUGUUUGUUGUUGAGCUGAAAAAGGCAAAAGGAGAUACUCUGGAAUUUCAGAAGUUCUAUAAAACACUCUCUGCGCAGAUAAAGGAUGUUGUUUGGGUUUGCGAGAGUGAGGUUGAAGAAAGAGGCUCCACAUAA